UUUUGUUUGUUUUUGCCAGAACACGCAUACGUUAUUCAAAUAAUAGUAAUAUAUGUUUAUUAUUCCCUAUUGCAGUUGAGACUGAAUUGCAGGGAGAGCGCCAACAAACUUACAGUACACACAAUAAACAAUUAACAUAUUUUACAGUUACAAAAUCGUUUAGUCUUUUGGUUUUUGUCAUCUGUGUGCGCCUCGUAGUACCCGACCUAAGACUGUAUUUGGCGGGUACUACACAUGUCCUCGAGUCCAUCGCCUGUAGGACGGGAUGCUCGGGUGGAAGGUUGGCUACAUACUGGCGGCAUAGAUUAUUGCGGCGCGUCUCAAGAGUCAGGAGACUCUGUCAGCACUGUCCGACAGUCAUUGAUUGAUAUGGUUAGCAUCAGGAAAACAGGCGCGCACUACCCAUCCCCCCUUCCCUCUCAUCCCUCUCCACCCGUGGCUAAUACAAGGAUUAGUUUGAGCAGCACCAAAAUCAGGCGCCAAAAGGUACAAUGCAAAGAGGGCAGCCACAAAUAUUUGAGCAGUCACCCUUAUAGGUACAGUACCCAAAAUAGGGAAAAAAACAUCAAUCAAUGGCUGUCAUUUUUCUAAAUGGUCUAAAGGAGCCUGGGGCAAGCGCACAAGAGACCUGUGAUAUUCUGAAAAAUGUUAGGGACUACGCUCCAUUUCCAAGAUGGAUGCCAGCAAAAUUGUAGUAAACAAGAAUUCAUUACAUGGAAAUUUCCGUCUUAUAAACCUCUAGAGAGAUAAAAACGUGAAAAAAUGAUUGAAGUGGACUCCCAAAUAUGGUAUGUAAUGCCUAAUAAGGCAAUGACCAAGCAAGCUAGAAAAACAACAGUUUUCAAAACAAGAUUGACUGAUAUGACAUAUUUUGCCACUUUAGUGGCUGCCUGCUCAAUACAGGGUGGACACUAGAAUUUUGAGCUGUAAUAUUCAUGCUGAUUUUAAGUCUUCUUUAGAAAUGUAAUGUUAUACUCACAGGGUAAUUGGCAGGCGGUGGACCACCAGGGUACCCCCCUGGGGGAGGAGCCCCUGGGUACCCCCCUGCGGGAGGAGCUCCAGGGUACCCUCCAGGAGGAGGGGCGUAUCCCUGAGGAGGUGGAGCAGGGUAGUUAGUCAAUGGGUGGUUCUGUGGGGGAAUACCUCCGCCCUCUUGAGGCACAUACUGUGGAAAAGAACAAAUAUACAUAAUUAAUUUAAACGUUGGAAAGGGUAUGUUCUUAGAACUAAGCAAAAAAUGUUGUUUUUAGUAUUUCUGUCUGCCUACCCCUUGUCUGCCUUCCUGUCAGUCUGCAGGGGCAGAUCUAGCUUUUCGCCAAAGGUGGGGUUUGGCUUAGCGACAAAGGGGUAGGGGGUAAUUUUUUGUUACAAAUGGCUUUCUGGCAGCCCAAACGGGGGUUAAACCCCCUAAACCCUCCCCCUAGAACCGCUACAGGUCUGCGUGCUUACAUGUUUUUGUUUGUCUACUUGAACAACUGACCUUUGCCUCUUACACAUGUGCGGAGAAAAGGUGCGCAGACAGAAAAAAAAUCUAAGAUUUUGAGACUCUAUCUAAAAGACUGCUUCAAGCAGUUGAGGGGCAAGGGAUACAUGCAUCCCCUGUGCCCACCCCUCGCUACAUGUCCCUCGUACUCUCUAAAACAACCUACCGGUGGUGGAGCAUAUCCUCCAGGGGGAGGCUGCUGGUAACCUCCAGGCGGUGGGUAAUACCCCCCUGGUUGCCCAGGAGCAGGGUAAUGUCCAGGGGGGGGCUGGUUGUACCCAGGGUACCCUCCUUGACCAGGCGGUUGAGUACCAGGGGGAGGUGGCUCUGACAUCUAGAACAGAGACUUAGAAAAUCAGUUAUACUACAAGCGAACCAAUAAACAAUACACAAUUCACCAAGCGAAA